GUCAGGACAAAUCCUGGUGCAAGCCGGCGGGGAUAGGCAAGGCUGUGCCUCACAUGCAGAUGCAGGAGCCCGAGGGCCCUGAGGGUGGCCAAGCCCAGACUCCGUGAUGCCAGAGGGAUGCAGAGGCAGUAUCCUGGAAGCUCGUGCAGGCUGCCUCACACUUGAGUUUACACAGCGCAAGAAGAGGAGAUCCCAAAGAAUACAUCAGACAUCAUCCCCCCAUUAGCCACUCAAGUCAUUUUCCACUCAACUUACAACCACUGACAAUCAGGGAGGAACUUGCUUCAGCUGGUUUGCUGGUAGCACACACUUCUAUAAUGCAACACAAUCAUUCGAAGGAUUCAUACCCAAGGGGUGUACUCCAUUUUCCCAAGACAAUAAAAUAAAAGAGCCCCCGAAAUCUGCUGUGCCCAUUGAGAGAGCUCCCUGUGUUUCCUCCGCCCACAUGGAAAUUUACAGUGCACACCUUUGCAAACUUUUUUAACAUUCCAGUGAGGGGCCUGGCCGUAUCAUCCACCAAUUCCCAGAUAUAAAAUAUCAGCUGCAUAUCUGGUCCCAUCAGCCCACAUCUGACUGAGGACUCCUGCAUAUUAAAGGGAUGUGAUACACACCACAAAGAGAGACGCAUUCCAAGUUCCGACCACUCUGAUAGGUUGCUACCUGCGGGGAGUUGUCUCUGUGCUCUUGGAGGGCAAGAAGAAGAAGAGUGAUGGUUUCCAGUGGAGUCUGGAGUCUCACUACCUCAGCCUCCUUUCCCGUUCUGACUUACUUCCCGUCAGAAGAAAGCUUUAGUGUGGCUUAAUGUCUUCUCUGAAUCCACUUACAACAAUAUUCCACUUGCAACUAAUCUCCUUUGGAGAUUAGCCUCUAUAAUGGUGGCAGUGAAUAUCCGACCUCUGCCCCCCCCCCAGAUGGUACACCCACAUGGAUACAGAAAUACACAGGAAGCAUCACAACACACAUGAUUUUUGCACGGCGAAGGAGGUGAAGGAAGGAACAGCGAGCUGGAGGCCAUUAUGAGAUGUGGGCAAUGUGUAAAAAUGUUCCUUUUUAUCACUGCAGUUCACUUCAGACAAACAGGAUGUGGAACAACUGAAGACAGACCCAGAAGCUCAAACCUCAGGAAAAUGGAAAAAAAAAAAAAAAGAAUAAUUCUAAGACUGAACAGUCAGUAAGCAUUUAACAGAUCACACUGGAGGAAGAAACCCUCCCUAGAAAUGCAAUUGUUAAAGACUAUUUAAAAAUCAAACUUGGAUCAUUAACAGAUUGCUGGGCUGGUAAGUCUGUAUUUAACGUAAUCACUGCAAGUCAGGAACACAAGUAUCGUGGCAGAGUUUUUCUGGAGAAGCCAACUUUGGACAAAGAUCCCAUGUCACUUAGAGGAAGAGGACAGGUCACUCAGAUAGAGCCUGUCUAAGACCAAAAUAAAUAAAUAAAUAAAAUUAUGAAUGUGGAGUGUACAAACACCAUAUUACACAGGAGUUACAGUUGAAACGGUCGUGUGUGGAUGUGCAUGUGUGUGUGAAUACCUGUGUAGAUUCCACACACCAUUUCCUUUUUUUGCUGCCAGGGGCUUGUGGGAUGAUUCCAAUUGGCCUUUCCCCACACUGAAGAGAUGAAAUCUGAUCAAGAGAUUUGGGGAAGUUCAUUAGGCAGAGCAUUAA